UCUUCAGAGACAGAGAAUACGAACAUGAUCCCAGACCCUACAAGUGUUCUCAAAUACACGUCCAGAGAACACCUGUCCAGAUCACACAAACCUGCGCUCUCACAGGAUUCAUGCUUGUGCUUCAUGUAUGACACGACUGAUCACAGGAAGCACAGACUGGUUGAUGAACCACAUGAACGCUCAAACUCCUCACUAGUGACUGAGCUGACAGCAAACAGUCCAUUUUAGGUUAAGAGUCUUAAAAAGAUGUGUUGUGAUAUAUUUAACAUUUACAUUUAUGCAUUUAGCAGACGCUUUUAUCCAAAGUGACUUACAGUGCAUUCAGGCUGUACAACAGUAUGUGUGUUUCCUGGGACUUGAACCCACGACGGUUAUUUGUGUUAAAAUCUGUUUCUUCCUGUCUGCUCCUUUUGAACAUCGGUCAGUGUUUCUAGCCGAACCCCGUCCCUUUAGGCAUUUAAGACACAGUGGGUGUAGAAAAUAAUCACAGUUUUUGUUUUAUCCAUCUCUAAUUAUUCAGUGCAUCUUCUAACAUCCAAGUGAAGGAUAACACCAACAUGGCAGAAAAAAAUAAUUAAUAGUUAAUGUGUCUGUGAACACGGCUUCUGUAAAUGCAGCAGUGUCGUGUGUGAACGGCUGUCAGGGACAGAAACAUCUACACAGGUCUACGAAUGUCCAGCAGUUUUAUGAGAGUUAUUGUGGCUGCAACAAACCUCAAGAGGCCAAUACUGCUUCCUCCAAACGUCUGUCAAUAAACCAGAUGUUAUUAUUGAUUCUUUACAGCUGUACACUUAGCAAAACUCACUUCCAAAUGUGCUCCACUAUGACAGUACUUGACCCGAAAGAGAAAACGGAUCAUUUUUUGCUAUUUUACACCUGCAGAAACAUGUUUAAAACAUAUGGGCUAAAAUAAUCUCGUAUUUUGCUAAAUCUGAAAUCAAGCCUGUGUAGCGAGAAUAGCUUGAACUUCAUUCUGGAUAAAAGCAUCUGUCAAACGCAUUUAUGCACAUGGAAAUAAAAUUUACAAGAAAGUUGUCUUUUGAUGCAUAUAGCACCUAAUAACUGAUUUGAUAAUGUGAUCGACCGUUCAACAGAGAAAAGCUUCACAAGCGUCAAAACCCUCAUGAGCUUGGCUCUAUAACACUAGUGUGAGCUGUAAAUCUGAGAAUUUUGCAUUUCAUCCAGAAAACCAGCCAGACGUCCUUGAGUUCUGUGCAACAAUGGAGGGCAAAGCAAGUUUCAAUCUGUUUUUUAGUUGCCAUGGAAACUGCAGAGAAACGUGUCCCUCCCACAAGAAUCCACAUCUGGCCUUUCAGGGGGCAUGUGUGCGCCGCUCACAUAGAUGCUCGGCGUCGGGGGGUUGAGCUUGUCUUUAGCCAGCGGCGGUGACGGAGGAGGAGGAAGUCGCGGCGGUGGACAUUUGUUCAGCAGGAUACUGCUGCUCGACAGACCGUUCUUCCGGAGAUUCCUGUCAAUAAACGUGAUGUUAGACCUGAAGAAAAAUGUUAUUUCUGCAGAAUACAAUAUUUACAAAUUAGCCAUAGCUGAAAUCUUAAAGAAAGUCAUCAGAUUCUCAACACCUGCAGACAGACAACACCCUCAAGUCUAAAAUUCAGCUUGCAUUUCAUUUUUUCAUUUAAGUGCUUCAAAAUAAAAUAAUGUAUAAAAUAUAUUUCUGUUUGUGCAUACAACAGUCCACCGAGGUGACAGCUUUCCAA